UACGAAGGGGGCUAGCGUGGCUCGGAAUCACUGGGCGUAAAGCGCACGUAGGCGGGUCCUUAAGUCAGGGGGGAAAUCCCGGAGCUCAACUCCGGAACUGCCUUUGAUACUGGGGAUCUUGAGUCCGGAAGAGGUGAGUGGAACUCCGAGUGUAGAGGUGAAAUUCGUAGAUAUUCGGAAGAACACCAGUGGCGAAGGCGGCUCACUGGUCCGGUACUGACGCUGAGGUGCGAAAGCGUGGGGAGCAAACAGG
rnacentral:rRNA from 1 species